AGCUGUUGCAUCUUUUUGGGCUUUUGGAGACACAGCUUUGGACGUGAUCAAGCCUGGUCCACAUCUCAGGCAGGACUUGUAGAGGACAGCUUUCCUAAAAGUGUGGGAAACCGCCAGGAAGGGAUGGUGUCCCAGGAAUCCUUUCCUCUCAGAACCUGGAGACAUGGCUUUUUCUUCAUCCCUGGCUGUCUGUAAAGGCUAAAUUGAGAAGUGCUCAGCAGCUGGCUUGUCCAGCGCAGUGAUGAGGUUAAACCUCAGCUAACAUCAUGUUAUAUAAGUAGGCCCAGUAACUCAGCUGAUGGGUUUCUUAGAAUCUAGAUGCUAAACGCUCCAUGCAUUCAAGAUUAAAUGCCUAGUUCUUCUUCACACACAGUUCUGGGUAGUUGACUCGUAGCCAGCAGCCCUCCUGUGGAUGUACCCCAGACCUUUAGAAAGAUGUUGAGGAAAGUGCUUUUUGCGAUACCAAUUUAGUUUUAUAGGAAAAAGAAACUGAAGGUCAAAACACUCCCUUGGAAAUCAACUAGUUGGUUCAACCACGUUAAAGAAGAAAGGAAGAAGGAAAGAGAGUUUAAGAGGCGCGUGAACUAUCGUAUCAAUAAGUAUGCCCAAGUUCUUUUGUGGGAUCCUUGGGAUAGUGCUAUUUGGACCUAUCUGUGAUUAAUGACUGUGAACCACUGUUGGGCUGACCGUUUGCAGUGAGAUCAGGAAUGCCUGCGUCUGCUGGCACUAAACCAAGCUGUAGCAUUUUCAUGCUGGCAUCUUCCAGGUGUGAAGGAAGCAAGACUUUGCCCUCCUGGUGCUCCGUGGAGCUCCUUAGUGCCCAGACCAGCGCCAUUUCCCCCAUCCACGGCAGCUCCGGGCCAUGAUUUCCCCAAGAAUUAAAGUUCCUGUUCCUCAUGCCGGUGAGGGGUAGUGGGCUCUGCGCUGACCCCUUGCUCUCCAGGCCGGUGUCUACACUGCUUAGGCUGAGUUAGUGUGUGCAGCCCUAUGGGUGCGUGUGGUAAUCGAUUCAGACGGGUGUUCUGAACACCUGCAGAGAACAGUUACUGCAUUCGGUUGUAGACUUUGUGCUUUUGAGUUUACAGUUGGGGGAAGUGUGACCCAUUAGUUUUUUCAGGCACGUGAAGGUGGGUUAUUGUGAAUAAACGAGCAUUGCCUCAAGUCCUGGGGCACCCACCCUGCAUGGGCCCAUUCUGGCUCCUGGUCACUUUACACCAGUGUUGUUAGAUAGUGCUGUAAAUAAGAGUAAGUUAUAUAACAGACGCCACUUGAAAUUUUACUUUAAGAAGUCUAUAGCUCCACACAUAUAUUUAGUUAUAUCUCUUGACAGAUUGCCUCCACACAGUAUGGAGAUUGUUUUAUACCACAGAUUAUUUUUAUAAACUAGUG
rnacentral:lncRNA from 1 species